ACCGAUGUCGAUUUGGAGUUUGGGGGCAUGACCCUUGGGCUCCGGAGCUAACGCGUUAAAUCGACCGCUGGGGAGUACGGCCGCAAGGUUAAAACUCAAAUGAAUUGACGGGGGCCCGCACAGCGGUGGAGCAUGUGGUUUAAUUCGAUGCAACGCGAAGAACCUUACCUGGUCUUGACAUCCAUAGAAUCUUUCAGAGAUGAGAGAGUGCCUUCGGGAGCUAUGAGACAGGUGCUGCAUGGCUGUCGUCAGCUCGUGUUGUGAAAUGUUGGGUUAAGUCCCGCAACGAGCGCAACCCCUAUCCUUUGUUGCCAGCACGUAAUGGUGGGAACUCAAAGGAGACUGCCGUUGAUAAAGCGGAGGAAGGUGGGGACGACGUCAAGUCAUCAUGGCCCUUACGACCAGGGCUACACACGUGCUACAAUGGCGUAUACAAAGGGAUGCGAAGGUGCGAACUGGAGCGGACCUCACAAAGUACGUCUAAGUCCGGAUUGGAGUCUGCAACUCGACUCCAUGAAGUCGGAAUCGCUAGUAAUCGUGAAUCAGAAUGUCACGGUGAAUACGUUCCCGGGCCUUGUACACACCGCCCGUCACACCAUGGGAGUGGGUUGCACCAGAAGUAGAUAGCUUAACCUUCGGGAGGGCGUUUACCACGGUGUGGUUCAUGACUGGGGUGAAGUCGUAACAAGGUAACCA
rnacentral:rRNA from 1 species